UACGUAGGGGGCUAGCGUUGUCCGGAAUCAUUGGGCGUAAAGAGCGUGUAGGCGGCCUUCUAAGUCGAACGUGAAAUCCCUGGGCUCAACCCAGGAACUGCGUCCGAUACUGGAAGGCUUGAAUCCGGGAGAGGGAUGCGGAAUUCCAGGUGUAGCGGUGAAAUGCGUAGAUAUCUGGAGGAACACCGGUGGCGAAGGCGGCAUCCUGGACCGGUAUUGACGCUGAGGCACGAAAGCGUGGGGAUCAAACAGG
rnacentral:rRNA from 1 species